AUUGAACGCUGGCGGCAGGCCUAACACAUGCAAGUCGAACGAGUGGCGGCCGGGUGCGUAAUGUCUGGGAAACUGCCCGAUGGCAGGGGAUAACUACUGGAAACGGUAGCUAAUCCCGCAUACCAUCGGAUUUGCCCAGAUGGGAUUAGCUUGUCGGUGAGGUAACGGCUCACCUAGGCGACGAUCCCUAGCUGGUCUGAGAGGAUGACCAGCCACCCUGAGACAGAGACGCGGUCCAGAAUUCUACGGUAGGCAGUAGUGAGGAAUGUUGGCAAAUGGGCGCGAGCCAGAUGCAGCCAGGCCGCGUGUAUGAAGAGGGGCUAUGGGUUGUAAAGGGCUUUCAGCGGUGAGGCGUGUCUCUCAAAAGAAGCAACGUCUAACUCCGUGCCAGCAGCCGCGGUAAUAC
rnacentral:rRNA from 1 species